rnacentral:lncRNA from 1 species
AGAAGGGCCACACAGGCCUCUCCCCCGGGGGGUGGCAGCCCAACCAGCUCUGGGGGACGUGGUGGCUGCUUCCUGGCCAGUUUGGGUGGGAAGUGAGGACACGUCCUGGCGCUAAUUGAAGCUGAAGGGGGAAUCUAGGUCGGCAGAGUGCAAUUAGCCAAGUUGGACUCGGGCCAAGACGCCAGCUAUAGCUGCCUCUAAUGAGGGACAGGCCGGCUCCUUUCCCGCCGGCUACCCGGCUUCCCUGGCUGCGCCUGUCUGCACAGGGGGAGCUGCCUACUCACAGUAGGGGUGCCAAGUGCCCCAGGGCUGUGCGGGGCUGCAACUCCCUGCCCUAAGGAGCACCUUGUCCUUGGUACCAGAAGGUUCUUUAAGGUCUUGUUGGGGUUUUCUACCCCAAGGGCUGGGAGAGGGCAGCCCUGAUGGAGGACCAGGACUCAGGGAGCUCAAUGCCUCUGCCCUCUGCUCAGAGUCGUAAUUUACCUGGGUCAGGACCAGGGCAGGGGCUCAGCCAUGGGGAGCGGAGCCCAUUUAUGUCCAGCUGGCCCAGACUGCUUCCUGGGAUUUAGGAUGCCCCCCUGCCAAGGCCAGGGUUGUAACCCUUUCUGGGAGGUACCUGUGCCCCUAUGGCCAUGGGUGAGGGGAAGCCCCAGCUCCUGCCAGAGGCACAGGCAGCUAGUCCUGGCUCCCCACGCCACCCUCCACAAACAAGAGAAGCUCUCUGACCAGCCCCACCAGAGCGUGGGUAGCCUCUGGGCUCCUCCCACACGGCUGACCUGCCUGGCUCCCCCAGAGCCUGCUUAGAAGGCCCAGCAGUCACUCUAGCCACCAAAUGUCUGCCCUGCCCAUUUCAGGCCAGGCCCCAUAGGCCACCCGGAGUGGACAAAAACGGAGAGAGACUAAGGGCUGUGACGGUGUAGGGGCACCCAGGCAGGGGGCAAGGGAUGGCCUCAGGCCCAAAACCUGGUGGGUGAGGAGCGGCUUUGGGUCUGAAGUCACAGGGUCUGGUUAUGCCAGAGUGGAGCUUCCAACAGCCGGAAGUCCCUGAGGAGGGGGAGGCUCGGCCCUGCCCUGGCCAUAACUCCUGGGGCCUGUACUCAGGCAGCACGUGAGGCAAGAAUUAGCAGAGGAGUCCGAGCCCGGGUGGUGUCUACGCUCAAGGGAGGGGGCGGGCAGAUGCCAUCCCGGUGGGUAUCAGAUAUGGGGGUGGGAUGGGAGGUGCCUCUGCCCCUGAGCACUGCCGGGGCCUGAGUCCACAGAGACUUCCCUUACUGCUCAGCUUUGGGCGUGGCCCGGGGCUCAGGCUGGAAUCUGGACCCUCUGAACCUGGGCAGGUCCCAGACCCCAGCAGACCUUCCCGAAAGCCUCCUCUAUCUCUCCCUAGUGCCAGAUCCCAGGGGGACUCCUCAGAGUAGAAGGGACAG